UUCUUUUGGUCACAAUACCCCAGUGACCAGGACCAGCAGGCUCAGACCAGGACUUCUUGUGCCAUUUGCAAACAACACACAAAGCUCAGCUUCUCCCAGAGCUGCAGGCGCUCUCUUGCUGCCCUUUUGUGAAAUUAGGGUUUAAUUCUCUGGAAUAAGUCUGCUAAUAAGGACUCCCAACACACCCAUCCUCUGGACAGAGUGUACCCGCUCAUGGCUCCCACAGGAGCUGUGACAGGAGGGGGACAGGGAAGGGGGGGGAGAGAAGAAAAUAAAUAUGCCUCACAGAGCACAAAAUGCAAGAGAAAUCUAAUACCCCUUCGCAGAGUAGUGAGAGUUCACUGGAAAAGAGGUAUUGGUUGCACUGGCUGCACUCGGCAAGCACUGAUUUCGGCUGGAGGGCCUCCUGUCCUCUCCCUGCUCGUCAUAUCACGUUCCACACUCUGUGUUAAGCCACCCCUGGGAACAUUUCCCACGGCACUGAGGACACGCAUGUUUGCGAUGCUGCUGCCGUCUGGGCGGCCAACAAUAGAGAGGGACAAUGUGAUCUUUAUGUAACGCGGCAGCCGCGCGCUGUUCCCCCCUGCUCGGGGAUGAGAUGUUCAACCCGUGAGGUACAACAAGUAACAACAACCUGAAGGGUUAAAUACAGCCACCGAACCCCUCAGCCUUGCUGGGGUUGGUGCUGGGGUUCCUCCGGGUGUGGGUGGGUGUAACCACGUGCCCUGUUGUAGCUGUUCAGUGCAAGAAACGUAACCCAAAAGCCAGGUGAACAGUCAUCUUCAGACCCUGUGAUCUACAGCCCAGGGGAGCUCCUUCUCCCUUCUGCAGCCUCAAAGCCCAAUCCAGGGAUGCAGACACAAGCCCUGCAUCCAGUGCUCAAACCCUCUCACGGUCCUUUGCUCCACAAAUUUCUACCAGAGUCCUUACACAGAGGUGGAUGAAGGAGGCUGAGCAAGUCCUUUCAGCUAUGAUCCUCUCGCAUCUGCAGCAGGUACCAAAGCUUAAUGGCUACAGGAAGAAAAGCAAUGUUCCUGGUUUGGGCAAUGCACUCACUUUGGCUUCUGAGAACAUCAAUCUCUGGAAAAUGAUUGUACAACAAAAUCUCGAAAUGAAACGAAUUCAUUGCUGCUCUCCAGCCUUGGGAAUGAAAUGAAUUCCUGUGAGACACACGGGUGUCUCGAGGGGGUGACCGGAGGUGACGGGAGGAGCGAGCUCUGGGGCGGCAGCUGAAGAUGAGCCAUUUCUAAAUCGGUCCCUGACGCCAGACCUAAAUUUUUAAGAGGCUCAAAUCAGGAAAAGAUUGCUGAUGGAUGCACUUCCCACUUAAAACUCACUUGCGUGGUGAUGGACGUCAGACUAGUGGCCUCAUGGCUAUGCCUGGUUGCUAUUGAGAGUGACAGAAACCUUCCAGCUUUCUGGAAAGUCCCCUCGUGAAAAGGCUCAGCCAGCUUUUAAAGCCUCCUGCGUGCAGGUUAUCUGCCUCUCCUGACUUGAAAAUAUUUGUCCCUGAGGAGCUGUUAUUUAAUACCUUCCUUAGUUACCAAGGGAUGGGAAGCUUCUCCCAUGGUUCUGUGGCUUUCCAAACACAGAUGGGAUUUAUUGAAGUUCCUGCUGCUCUGGCCUCAUUAACGUUUUAUGGCACAGCUCCAGAGAUGUGCCUGCUCCUUGCUGGGUGCCCCUCUACAGCCCCACAGUACCUCAAGUCUCCCAGCUGCACGGAACAUCCUUGGGGAGUUUGAAGUGAUUUCAUUCCCAAAACAGCUCCACUGCUGCCUUUUGGGACCUCACCUGUGUUCCUGCCUCAUGCAGGACCACAGCUCCCAGCAGCUCCUUUCAUAACAGCCACGGUGGGUGGGAAAGCAGAGACAGCAUGAGGAGGAGAGGGAGAAAAAAAAAGGGAAAAACCAGAGAAUAGUGCAGGAACACAUCCAAGCUGUGCUGUGGCAAACAUAACCUGGGGGCUGCCCAGGCAAGGAUGGGAUUUUAACAUAUACAGAGGACAUGGAAGCAGAAGAAGGGGUGCAAGCCCUGAGUUUGGUGGGGAAAUGCAGUGGGCAGCCCUGGGGAGACACUCGUGGUAGCCUCCUACACAUGCCCACAGGGAGGAGGGUGGGAACUGGGAGUCCCGAGGCCUUUUUGGAAUGGCUUUUCUCCCCUGUGGAGAACAGGAGGGAGCAUCAGCACAAUCCAGCUGGAGUCUGCAAAUUGCCCCACUUAGGCUCUGGUCCUUGAAAUUGCUCUCUUAGCCAAAGUAUAUCCAUUGACCUGACAAGCAUCAGGUUUUUCUCUGGAGCCACACUCCCCCACAGCCUCCAGAGUUCGUGCUUCAUCCCCAGACUUUGCAGGUUUAGUCCCAGAGAAACAUGCCUGGUGCUUACUAGGCCACCUUGCUGUGCUGGAGGCCUUGAUAUGCACCUCUCCAUGGAGCCAGGGUUUCCUCACCACAUAUUUAUUCAGAGGCACUGCAUAGCAAGGACAACACGGCGCCAAACUUUGGAAGAGGCAGACCUGGCUGGAGUUCAGCAGAAACAGGGAAUUAAGACACUGAACUAAACCAAUCCAUCCCCACCCAAUUUCUAUCCAAAUCAGGAAUUUCAUGCACAGAAGGGAUUUUGAGCAUGGUCCCACAUUACUUAUUGAGCAGAGAGAGCAGAGAGUGCUUGGCGCUGUGCAGAAAUCCAGUCUUUGCACUUAAGCUCUUGGAAACCCAGAGUAAUUCAGAUGCAGAAAAGAUCUCAGCUGCUGGGAAGGAACCCAAAUAGCCAGAGAAAGAGGGAGCCUGUGCAGGGAUGUAGGGAAAGAAAGAGCUGCUGGCUGGGUGCAGGCAGGGGACACUGAUCACAUGGAAAAAAGGAUGAGGAGGAGGUAAAGGAAGCAGGUCAGAGAAAAUCAGGGAUGUCUGGGGCCACUCUUGCUGAAAUGUACCCAACACUGGGGGCUUGUUUAGGGCUGCAGUACCCACAGAUCCCCUGCAAGAGCCUUCCAGAAGUGCCUGAUGUGAGUCACACACUGUGACUGAAAACUCGAGGGAGGUGCUCCGGUGCUCGGGCAGAGCACAGAGGUGUGGAGGUCCAGGGACUGUGAGAUCCAUCCGGCCUGGUACAGCAGGGGACACACGGAACGCCACGCUCACCUCCCCGGAGCUUCCCCCAACACCCAGCUCGGGCUGCUCACUCAAACCCACGCCGAGAUGCCUCCUGCUCCCAGACCCAGCCUUGCACGUCUGGCUUGGAGUGCCACCUGCUGCCAACGGCACCGCUCUCCAGUCACCGGGAGGGGACAACAGCAACGCGGAGCAACGAACUUCCUGCUGUUACAUCAGCUUUCCCUGUCCUUUAACAGCAGCCAAACUCCUGAGCCAAAAAGCAACGCUAUUUCCCAAGCUGCAGGCGUCCCACGAGUCGCAGGCGUAGCAGCAGAUGCUAAUAAAGUACUUUUUUCUUUCUC